rnacentral:rRNA from 1 species
CCUACGGGUGGCAGCAGCGGGGAAUAUUGCGCAAUGGGCGAAAGCCUGACGCAGCAACGCCGCGUGAGGGAUUGAAGGCUCUCGGGUUGUAAACCUCUUUCAGCAGGGACGAUUGUGACGGUACCUGCAGAAGAAGCCCCGGCCAACUACGUGCCAGCAGCCGCGGUAACACGUAGGGGGCGAGCGUUGUCCGGAUUUAUUGGGCGUAAAGAGCUCGUAGGCGGUUUGGUAAGUCGGGUGUGAAAACUCUGGGCUCAACUCAGAGACGCCACCCGAUACUGCCAUGACUUGAGUCCGGUAGGGGAGUAUGGAAUUUCCGGUGUAGCGGUGAAAUGCGCAGAUAUCGGAAGGAACACCAGUAGCGAAGGCGGUACUCUGGGCCGGAACUGACGCUGAGGAGCGAAAGCGUGGGGAGCGAACAGGAUUAGAUACCCUAGUAG